UCUAAAUAAAGUAUAAAGUAUAAAGUAUAAGUAUACUCCAUAGUAUAUCAGAUACAGAUCGGCUGCUCAUGUUUUAUCUAGUACUUAUAAAACUCAUUAAUAAUUCAUGAGGAAAAUACAAAAGAAAUGAAUGUUUAAUCAAUGUUUACAUAAACUUCAGCUUUGAUUUUCUCGGCUUAGACAAUGUUUAUUUUUAAAAUUACUUCGCCAAUGAGCUCAUAAGAUUGGUCGUUUUAUAAGCAUGAUAAAACAUUCAACAUCUAGUACUUAUUAAGCCUGAAGUUUGUGUUAUCACCCGAAGUUGAUGGCUGAUAUUGAAAACAAAAUUUGAGGGCUUGACAAUUCUUUGUAUCUGGCGAAAACCGAAUUCAAUAAUUGUUUUAUUAUUUAUUUAAAAGAUGAAAAAAACAUGCGCGUCUGUGGGUUGAACUCGUCGAAAUAAUGACAAGGUCUUUUCCCAAAUCUUUCCUUUUUUCUGUCAUAAGUACUUUAUUCUUUAAAGCGUCAUUGUCAACCACAACAACGACAACGUAUCUGUUUACAUCUUGCUUUCGUGACAAAUAGCAACAAAUGACGAUUAUAAACAUUUCUUUGGUGCAAUUUUAGCUAGU